AGAGCGAACGCUGGCGGCAGGCUUAACACAUGCAAGUCGAGCGGGCGUAGCAAUACGUCAGCGGCAGACGGGUGAGUAACGCGUGGGAACGUACCUUUUGGUUCGGAACAACCCAGGGAAACUUGGGCUAAUACCGGAUAAGCCCUUACGGGGAAAGAUUUAUCGCCGAAAGAUCGGCCCGCGUCUGAUUAGCUAGUUGGUGAGGUAAUGGCUCACCAAGGCGACGAUCAGUAGCUGGUCUGAGAGGAUGAUCAGCCACAUUGGGACUGAGACACGGCCCAAACUCCUACGGGAGGCAGCAGUGGGGAAUAUUGGACAAUGGGCGCAAGCCUGAUCCAGCCAUGCCGCGUGAGUGAUGAAGGCCCUAGGGUUGUAAAGCUCUUUUGUGCGGGAAGAUAAUGACGGUACCGCAAGAAUAAGCCCCGGACUAACUUCGUGCCAGCAGCCGC
rnacentral:rRNA from 1 species